CGGCCCAUAAGACUGGGAUAACUCCGGGAAACCGGGGCUAAUACCGGAUAACAUUUUGAACCGCAUGGGUCGAAAUUGAAAGGCGGCUUCGGCUGUCGCUUAUGGAUGGACCCGCGUCGCAUUAGCUAGUUGGUGAGGUAACGGCUCACCAAGGCAACGAUGCGUAGCCGACCUGAGAGGGUGAUCGGCCACACUGGGACUGAGACACGGCACCAGACUCCUACGGGAGGCAGCAGUAGGGAAUCUUCCGCAAUGGACGAAAGUCUGACGGAGCAACGCCGCGUGAGUGAUGAAGGCUUUCGGGUCGUAAAACUCUGUUGUUAGGGAAGAACAAGUGCUAGUUGAAUAAGCUGGCACCUUGACGGUACCUAACCAGAAAGCCACGGCUAACUACGUGCCAGCAGCCGCGGUAAUACGUAGGUGGCAAGCGUUAUCCGGAAUUAUUGGGCGUAAAGCGCGCGCAGGUGGUUUCUUAAGUCUGAUGUGAAAGCCCACGGCUCAACCGUGGAGGGUCAUUGGAAACUGGGAGACUUGAGUGCAGAAGAGGAAAGUGGAAUUCCAUGUGUAGCGGUGAAAUGCGUAGAGAUAUGGAGGAACACCAGUGGCGAAGGCGACUUUCUGGUCUGUAACUGACACUGAGGCGCGAAAGCGUGGGGAGCAAACAGGAUUAGAUACCCUGGUAGUCCACGCCGUAAACGAUGAGUGCUAAGUGUUAGAGGGUUUCCGCCCUUUAUUGCUGAAGUUAACGCAUUAAUCACUCCGCCUGCCGAGUACGGCCGCAGGGCUUAAACUCAAAGGAAUUGACGGGGGCCCGCACAAUCUUUGGAGCAUGU
rnacentral:rRNA from 1 species